UAGCUUAGUUGGCAGAGUGCAAGGCUCUUAACCUUAAGGUCGUGGGUUCAAGCCCCAU
rnacentral:tRNA from 1 species